AGAUAAGCCCAGAGCCGUUUGGAGCCUUUGAGUGGAAGGGGUCCGAGCUGAAGUACAUGCCUUGGUAGGAAGCCGAAUAAGGAGACAGGGGUAGAUCUGGCUCUUCCUGGGGCAGGAAAUGGAUGGAAAUUAGAUUCUGAUUGGCUGGUAGUCUAAGCUUGUCUGACCCUGAAGCUGCCCUUGGCUGCAAGUUGAUGUGACUCAAGCUCCCUCAGCGCACAUCUUCAGGUGUUUAUGUUACCACCUCCAAGGUUUCCAGCCACUGCACCCCAGGACACCGACCCCAGGCAGAAAUCCACGCAGAAAACAUCAAAGCAAACCCAGCAGAAGGAUUCAACUCGAACUUUUCCAAGCGAGAGAGGCACACCUAUUACAGAACUCACCCAUUUGAAUAGCCUGCCACCUUUCCCACAAGGUCUUAUAAAUAAAGCUGGACGAUCUUGCAGUGAAUUGGCUCAGUAUCAGUUUUUGGUCGUUGCAUUAAAAUCCUCCUCAACUCCCAGAAAUGGAGACCAGAACAGCCACAGAGCAAAACUCCGAGAAAGCCCGAAAGGGGUGAGAAAAGUCCUUUACAGACUCUGAAUGGCUUCCUAUAGGUCGUCCCCAUAGAUAAGUUGGUCUUUUCUGCUUCUCCUACUAUUUAAGAUUCCUUGGGGGUUCCACUUCUGUGUUACACGACACAGGGCAUGUGAACGCAACCAUACUUCAGCUUUGGUCACACUGGACAUUUAAACUCUCCCCAAAUGCCCCCCAAAGAAGAGAUGGAGCCCGUGACCUCUCACUGCCUGCAAUCUGCUAUAAUGCAACCAGCUUCCUCCAGAAACCCUUCUUUUACAGAAUUAUGUGUCAUCUGCCAGUUAAGGAGUCUGCUGGAAAAUGUAUGCAGAUUCCUGGCAAUGCGUUUCCAACGAAAGUUAAGUAUCUUCACGGACAGAACGAAAAAGCGAAAGACACAUCAUUACUUCUCCCUCCAGUGGCUUUUACAUAGUGAUUGCUCCAGCCGUACUUCAACCUCUAUUUCAUAAGUGAAAUCUGAACUGCCCCCAAAUCAUCUUUAACCCUAAACGCAAACCAGACUUUACACCCACUGUCUGGGAUGCCAAGGGAACAAAUAUUCUAGAAAGCAGAAUUGUGCAUGGGAGGAUCAGCAUGCUGAGAUGCUUCAUUGGACCAAGAACCAUAUUUAGAUGAUUAAGCCCGAAGACUGGGGCUUCUUACCAAAGAAAGGCAACAGGCCUGAGCUCAAAUGAAGAGACUCUUGUUUUUUUUUUUUAAAUGGCAGGUAGAUUAUAUCAGUGCAACUCAAGACCGCUCCCAAAUGAAAAACUAACAGAGCAAUUACUAAAACAAAAUAGAAGUUACCUUUCAUGUUUACAAGCUGUAAGACACAAACCGUCCUCUCCCAGCCAUAAUGGAGCCUUUAUUAACGAGGAAUAAGAAGCACCUGGGGGAAAAAAACUGCUACCGUAUUAAUUAUAAAUAAGGAUCCCUUAAAUCCUAGGUCCUUCUGGGUGCUAUGAUGCAAUGAAAAGAGUCUGACCUCUCUACCCUGUUCCUACAGACUUUGAAAGAAGCUUUUCAAGUAAAUCUAGGCACAAAGGCAGUAACUGGCAAGUAAUACGGUGCCAAGUAGGGAAUGAUAAUGACAUCAAGCAAGAGUCAGUCGGUCCGUCUCAGGAAAUAAACCUGAAACCAUCUCUAGAAUAAAUAAAUAAAUAAAUAAAUAAAUAAA
rnacentral:lncRNA from 1 species